AGCCAUGCCGCGUGAAUGAAGAAGGCCUUCGGGUUGUAAAGUUCUUUCGGUAGCGAGGAAGGCACUUAGUUUAAUAAACUAGGUGAUUGACGUUAACUACAGAAGAAGCACCGGCUAACUCCGUGCCAGCAGCCGCGGUAAUACGGAGGGUGCGAGCGUUAAUCGGAAUAACUGGGCGUAAAGGGCACGCAGGCGGUGACUUAAGUGAGGUGUGAAAGCCCCGGGCUUAACCUGGGAAUUGCAUUUCAUACUGGGUCGCUAGAGUACUUUAGGGAGGGGUAGAAUUCCACGU
rnacentral:rRNA from 1 species